AUUGAACGCUGGCGGAAUGCUUUACACAUGCAAGUCGAGCGGCAGCGCGGGGCAACCUGGCGGCGAGCGGCGAACGGGUGAGUAAUGCAUCGGAACGUACCCCGUCGUGGGGGAUAACUACCCGAAAGGGUAGCUAAUACCGCAUACGACCUGAGGGUGAAAGCGGGGGACCGAAAGGCCUCGCGCGAUGGGAGCGGCCGAUGCCGGAUUAGCUAGUUGGUAGGGUAAAGGCCUACCAAGGCGACGAUCCGUAGCUGGUCUGAGAGGACGACCAGCCACACUGGAACUGAGACACGGUCCAGACUCCUACGGGAGGCAGCAGUGGGGAAUUUUGGACAAUGGGCGAAAGCCUGAUCCAGCCAUUCCGCGUGAGUGAAGAAGGCCUCGGUUGUAAGUACGU
rnacentral:rRNA from 1 species